UACGUAGGGUGCGAGCGUUAAUCGGAAUUACUGGACGUAAAGCGUGCGCAGGCGGCUUUGCAAGACAGAUGUGAAAUCCCCGGGCUUAACCUAGGAACUGCAUUUGUGACUGCAUGGCUGGAGUGCGGCAGAGGGGGAUGGAAUUCCGCGUGUAGCAGUGAAAUGCGUAGAUAUGCGGAGGAACACCGAUGGCGAAGGCAAUCCCCUGGGCCUGCACUGACGCUCAUGCACGAAAGCGUGGGGAGCAAACAGG
rnacentral:rRNA from 1 species